GACGAACGCUGGCGGCGUGCUUAACACAUGCCAGUCGAACGGAAAGGCCCUGCUUUUGUGGGGUGCUCGAGUGGCGAACGGGUGAGUAACACGUGAGUAACCUGCCCUUGACUUUGGGAUAACUUCAGGAAACUGGGGCUAAUACCGGAUAGGAGCUCCUGCUGCAUGGUGGGGGUUGGAAAGUUUCGGCGGUUGGGGAUGGACUCGCGGCUUAUCAGCUUGUUGGUGGGGUAGUGGCUUACCAAGGCUUUGACGGGUAGCCGGCCUGAGAGGGUGACCGGCCACAUUGGGACUGAGAUACGGCCCAGACUCCUACGGGAGGCAGCAGUGGGGAAUAUUGCACAAUGGGCGGAAGCCUGAUGCAGCAACGCCGCGUGCGGGAUGACGGCCUUCGGGUUGUAAACCGCUUUCACCUGUGACGAAGCGUGAGUGACGGUAAUGGGUAAAGAAGCACCGGCUAACUACGUG
rnacentral:rRNA from 1 species